rnacentral:rRNA from 1 species
GACGAACCGUACGAACGUUAUUCGGAAUUACUGGGCUUAAAGGGUGCGUAGGCGGCGCAGUAAGUUGGGUGUGAAAUCCCUCGGCUUAACCGAGGAAUUGCGCCCAAAACUACUGUGCUCGAGGGAGAUAGAGGUGAGCGGAACUUAGGGUGGAGCGGUGAAAUGCGUUGAUAUCCUAAGGAACACCGGUGGCGAAAGCGGCUCACUGGAUCUCUUCUGACGCUGAGGCGCGAAAGCUAGGGGAGCGAACGGG